rnacentral:rRNA from 1 species
UUGAACGCUGGCGGCAUGCCUUACACAUGCAAGUCGAACGGCAGCACGGGAGCAAUCCUGGUGGCGAGUGGCGAACGGGUGAGUAAUACAUCGGAACGUGCCCAGUAGUGGGGGAUAGCCCGGCGAAAGCCGGAUUAAUACCGCAUACGACCUACGGGUGAAAGCGGGGGAUCGCAAGACCUCGCGCUAUCGGAGCGGCCGAUGUCAGAUUAGCUAGUUGGUGGGGUAAAAGCCUACCAAGGCGACGAUCUGUAGCUGGUCUGAGAGGACGACCAGCCACACUGGGACUGGGACACGGCCCAGACUCCUACGGGAGGCAGCAGUGGGGAAUUUUGGACAAUGGGCGCAAGCCUGAUCCAGCCAUGCCGCGUGCGGGAAGAAGGCCUUCGGGUUGUAAACCGCUUUUGUCAGGGAAGAAAAGCUCCGGGCCAAUACCCCGGAGUGCUGACGGUACCUGAAGAAUAAGCACCGGCUAACUACGU